UCUGACUCAUCCCCCUCUCUCUCUCUCUCUUUCUCUCUCUUCUCGAUGCUUCUCUUCUUUUCCCUUUCCUACUUUCUUUAGCUGGUGAUGGUGGUAGACAAGGUAGUAAAUAACGGCGACUGUGAGCGAUCAUGAUGGUGGAUAUUGCGAUUGCGAUGAGCGAUGGUGUGGUGGUAUUUGAGCGGCGACGACAUCAAUUAGUUAUGGCGAUGACAGUGGAUUGUUUGCUUGAAAUCUGACAACAACCCACCCUCCGGUCGGCACAGCAAUGGUGUUUCGCGCCUGCGGAUUGACUAGAUUGAACUUUUUGGGAUCAUUUAUUGGGUCAUAGUUUCCAAACCCUUGAGCCAAGACAUGGAAGUUGAAUCCAUGCAAAUGCAUAGGGUGGCUCUCUAUACCCAGUGAGGCUGUGUUUUGUAACACUAUCUCAACAAUUGAAUUGAACUUAAGUUUUUUCA